rnacentral:misc_RNA from 1 species
AGGAGCCGUGUGCAUUAAUAGUGCAAGCACGGUUCUGUGAGGGUUGCGCCUUGAAAGCUCAAGGAAUACAUACGACUUGAG